GACGAACGCUGGCGGCGUGCCUAAUACAUGCAAGUUGAGCGCUGAAGGUUGGUACUUGUACCAACUGGAUGAGCAGCGAACGGGUGAGUAACGCGUGGGGAAUCUGCCUUUGAGCGGGGGACAACAUUUGGAAACGAAUGCUAAUACCGCAUAAAAACUUUAAACACAAGUUUUAAGUUUGAAAGAUGCAAUUGCAUCACUCAAAGAUGAUCCCGCGUUGUAUUAGCUAGUUGGUGAGGUAAAGGCUCACCAAGGCGAUGAUACAUAGCCGACCUGAGAGGGUGAUCGGCCACCUUGGGACUGAGACACGGCCCAAACUCCUACGGGAGGCAGCAGUAGGGAAUCUUCGGCAAUGGACGAAAGUCUGACCGAGCAACGCCGCGUGAGUGAAGAAGGUUGUCGGAUCGUAAAACUCUGUUGGUAGAGAAGAACGUUGGUGAGAGUGGAAAGCUCAUCAAGUGACGGUAACUACCCAGAAAGGGACGGCUAACUACGUG
rnacentral:rRNA from 1 species